ensembl:lncRNA
GUGAAAUUGAGUAUUUCACUGUAACCAUGGCAACGCGAGGGGCCGCACCUGCACGUCGUUUUGUUAAUUAGGUCCCCCGAUCUAAUGAGUUCACCUGGUGCGGCUCGCGCUGUGUUUGGUUAAGUGCAGUGAUCCAAACAGGGUCGUUUCCCACCACCGUUCAGACGUCGCCGUCUACAAGAUACGGUUAACCGCAAGGUUGCGAACACUUUUCGAAGUAAAACUGACUAGGCCUAUCUGGACCGGAUGUCACAAAGAACAAACUGCUAUUCUGUGAGUAUCACAAUUGAGCCAUGAAGAAGAAACUGCGAACUUUGCGUAUAAGAAGAGGAUAAAGUUGAAGGCUGCGACAUUUACAUUUGAGGCAAUUUGGUGUUUCCGCACCAUGGCUCCUUGGAUCUACAGCAACCCAGCAGCUGAAUAUGGCUAAGUACCAUUUUGCUAUCAUAUUUCCAUUGAUGCUGCUAGUGUUCUAAAUUCCUGUGCUGUGAUUGUGCUGUAAACAAAAUCAAUUAGUGUGGAAUUACUUUACACUAUACUUAUGGCGGCUAGUAGUAGUACUUAUCUGAAAGUUCAACAGCUAAAAUAAUGCAUCCAUGUGCCACAUGUUAAAGUAAUAUCAACCAUAGAACGGUACAGAGCUGAGCUUGUAAAUGCAGUUUGUCACCAGUUCUGCCUCCACAUCCAGGUCCAUCACCCCCCCCCCCCCGUAUCACCACUGGCCGAAGGACUCCAUAGCAGUGAGGAUCCCCUGGAUGAACCAUGAGGCAGCAGGGUGGAGCAGAGGCCGGGAACCAGCAGGUUACUCCCAGCAGACCGGGGAGCUGAUGGAGCUGAUGGAGCUGAUGCUGCAGGGGAGCUGAUGGAGCUGGGGAGCUGAUGGUGCAGGGGAGCUGAUGGAGCUGGGGAUGAUGGAGGGGAUGGA